rnacentral:rRNA from 1 species
UACGAAGGGGGCUAGCGUUGCUCGGAAUCACUGGGCGUAAAGGGUGCGUAGGUGGCGCCGUAAGUCAGGUGUGAAAUCUCGGGGCUCAACCCCGAAACUGCACUUGAUACUGCGGUGCUUGAGUACUGGAGAGGAGAUUGGAAUUUACGGUGUAGCAGUGAAAUGCGUAGAUAUCGUAAGGAGGACCAGUGGCGAAGGCGAAUCUCUGGACAGUUACUGACACUGAGGCACGAAGGCCAGGGGAGCAAACGGG